rnacentral:lncRNA from 1 species
CGCCAAGGCUCCCCGGAGCAAGCCUGUGUGGACCCCCAGGACUAGUCCGGGGCCUGGCCUAAAGACUGGACGCCUCAGAGGACCGGUGAACGGAUGACUAACAGGCACAUCAAAACCUUCAGCACUUGUUCGACCCCUAACCCAGGGCACCCGCCGUGAGCCAGCUGCACUGGGAUAGGAAGCUGAGGCCUAAAGGGGCCCGACAGCGUGCUCGGUGUCGCCAAGAAAGACCGCUCACGGCCUCCAGUAACCUGAGCCGCCCGCAGCCUGAUUGCCAGAGAAGGGCGGUGAGGAGAGAAGGAAGAGAUGUUGGUUCUGCUUAACGCUCAUUAAUUGUCUCGUCAAAUGGAUCCAACAACCUUUCCAUCCAGGCGCUAUUAACCCAUUUAACAGGUGAGAAAACAGAGGCU